rnacentral:tRNA from 1 species
GCCGAAGUGGCGGAAUUGGUAGACGCGCCAGCUUCAGGUGCUGGUGGGCUUUGGCCCGUGGAGGUUCAAGUCCUCUCUUCGGCACCA